UUGAUGUCUGUAAGAUUUCAAGAAACAAGGGUUUGAGGUGAACUUGAGAUGAAGUGAAGAUUUAAGGGUUUGAUGUCUGUUUUGUUGAUGUAGAUUACGUUGAGGGGUGCAACAAAAUCAAAAGAUUAAGGAUUACGUUGAGGGGUGCAACAAAAUCAUACUUAAGAACAGUGGAAAACUCUUACAUUGACAGCUCUGACGAGGGGAACCAAGUGGAGGAGGAUAUAAAGAAGGGGAUUGAGAAGAAGAAGGUGGAAAAGAGGGCAGAAGAAAAUGGAAGAUGAAUUACAG